GGCAGGGUAUAGUUUCUCCCUGGAUUUAAAAGGAUUGGAAGAGACGGUAAGGGGUGAAAUUAUCCCCACCCCUUCACUGGCUUCUUUCUUUCCAAUAAUCAAUCAGCUGCUUCCCCUAUGACUGACUUGCUUUCAGCCAGACGACACUGCUGGGGUGAACUUAUAUUCUUACCAGUGUGCUCAUAAGAGAUGAAUCCUUGAAUGACGUCCAGCUGGGUGAACCUGUCCA